rnacentral:snoRNA from 1 species
AUGUAUCCAUGUGACAGACCCAGGGCAGUUACAGUCUGCUGCUCAGGUUUUCACCACUGAUACAAACAAAAAGUGCCUUCAUACUUUCUGUCUGACUACGGCAACCAAGAUCGCAUACAGGGGAAAACAC